UACGUAGGUGGCAAGCGUUGUCCGGAUUCACUGGGCGUAAAGCGCGCGCAGGCGGCUUGUUAAGUCUGCUGUAACAUCUCCCGGCUCAACCGGGAGCGGCCAGCAGAUACUGGCAAGCUUGAGGCAAGCAGAGGAAGGUGGAAUUCCCGGUGUAGUGGUGAAAUGCGUAGAGAUCGGGAGGAACACCAGUGGCGAAGGCGGCCUUCUGGGCUUGUCCUGACGCUGAGGCGCGAAAGCGUGGGGAGCGAACCGG
rnacentral:rRNA from 1 species